rnacentral:rRNA from 1 species
AUUGAACGCUGGCGGCAUGCUUUACACAUGCAAGUCGAACGGUAACAGGCCGCAAGGUGCUGACGAGUGGCGAACGGGUGAGUAAUGCAUCGGAACGUGCCCAGUCGUGGGGGAUAACGCAGCGAAAGCUGCGCUAAUACCGCAUACGAUCUCUGGAUGAAAGCGGGGGACCGAAAGGCCUCGCGCGAUUGGAGCGGCCGAUGUCAGAUUAGGUAGUUGGUGGGGCAAAGGCCCACCAAGCCAACGAUCUGUAGCUGGUCUGAGAGGACGACCAGCCACACUGGGACGGGGACACGGCCCAGACGCCUACGGGAGGCAGCAGUGGGGAAUUUUGGACAAUGGGCGCAAGCCUGAUCCAGCAAUGCCGCGUGCAGGAAGAAGGCCUUCGGGUUGUAAACUGCUUUUGUACGGAACGAAACGGUCCGGGUUAAUACCCUGGGCUAAUGACGGUACCGUAAGAAUAAGCACCGGCUAACUACGUGCCAGCAGCCGCCGCGGUAA